rnacentral:rRNA from 1 species
CCUACGGGAGGCAGCAGUGGGGAAUUUUGGACAAUGGGCGCAAGCCUGAUCCAGCCAUGCCGCGUGCAGGAUGAAGGCCUUCGGGUUGUAAACUGCUUUUGUACGGAACGAAAAGACUCUGGUUAAUACCUGGGGUCCAUGACGGUACCGUAAGAAUAAGCACCGGCUAACUACGUGCCAGCAGCCGCGGUAAUACGUAGGGUGCGAGCGUUAAUCGGAAUUACUGGGCGUAAAGCGUGCGCAGGCGGUUAUAUAAGACAGAUGUGAAAUCCCCGGGCUCAACCUGGGAACUGCAUUUGUGACUGUAUAGCUAGAGUACGGCAGAGGGGGAUGGAAUUCCGCGUGUAGCAGUGAAAUGCGUAGAUAUGCGGAGGAACACCGAUGGCGAAGGCAAUCCCCUGGGCCUGUACUGACGCUCAUGCGCGAAAGCGUGGGGAGCAAACAGGAUUAGAUACCCUGGUAGUCCACGCCCUAAACGAUGUCAACUGGUUGUUGGGUCUUCACUGACUCAGUAACGAAGCUAACGCGUGAAGUUGACCGCCUGGGGAGUACGGCCGCAAGGUUGAAACGUCAAAUGAAAUUGACGGCUGAGACGAGCGAGGACGACACGAGGGAGGAGG